rnacentral:rRNA from 1 species
GGUUAAGCGACUAAGCGUACACGGUGGAUGCCCUGGCAGUCAGAGGCGAUGAAGGACGUGCUAAUCUGCGAAAAGCGACGGCGAGGUGAUAUGAACCUUUGACCCGUCGAUGUCCGAAUGGGGAAACCCAGUGCAAUCCGUUGCACUAUCGUUAACUGAAUACAUAGGUUAACGAGGCGAACCGGGGGAACUGAAACAUCUAAGUACCCCGAGGAAAAGAAAUCAACCGAGAUUCCCCCAGUAGCGGCGAGCGAACGGGGAGCAGCCCGGAGUCUGAAUCAGCUUGUGUGUUAGUGGAAGCGUCUGGAAAGUCGCACGGUACAGGGUGACAGUCCCGUACACGAAAAUGCACAGGUUGUGAACUCGAAGAGUAGGGCGGGACACGUGGUAUCCUGUCUGAAUAUGGGGGGACCAUCCUCCAAGGCUAAAUACUCCUGACUGACCGAUAGUGAACCAGUACCGUGAGGGAAAGGCGAAAAGAACCCCGGCGAGGGGAGUGAAAAAGAACCUGAAACCGUGUACGUACAAGCAGUGGGAGCACCUUCGUGGUGUGACUGCGUACCUUUUGUAUAAUGGGUCAGCGACUUAUAUUCUGUAGCAAGGUUAACCGUAUAGGGGAGCCGCAGGGAAACCGAGUCUUAACUGGGCGUUAAGUUGCAGGGUAUAGACCCGAAACCCGGUGAUCUAGCCAUGGGCAGGUUGAAGGUUGGGUAACACUAACUGGAGGACCGAACCGACUAAUGUUGAAAAAUUAGCGGAUGACCUGUGGCUGGGGGUGAAAGGCCAAUCAAACCGGGAGAUAGCUGGUUCUCCCCGAAAGCUAUUUAGGUAGCGCCUCGUGAACUCAUCUUCGGGGGUAGAGCACUGUUUCGGCUAGGGGGCCAUCCCGGCUUACCAACCCGAUGCAAACUACGAAUACCGAAGAAUGUUAUCACGGGAGACACACGGCGGGUGCUAACGUCCGUCGUGAAGAGGGAAACAACCCAGACCGCCAGCUAAGGUCCCAAAGUCAUGGUUAAGUGGGAAACGAUGUGGGAAGGCACAGACAGCCAGGAUGUUGGCUUAGAAGCAGCCAUCAUUUAAAGAAAGCGUAAUAGCUCACUGGUCGAGUCGGCCUGCGCGGAAGAUGUAACGGGGCUAAACCAUGCACCGAAGCUGCGGCAGCGACGCUUAUGCGUUGUUGGGUAGGGGAGCGUUCUGUAAGCCGUUGAAGGUGUGCUGUGAGGCAUGCUGGAGGUAUCAGAAGUGCGAAUGCUGACAUAAGUAACGAUAAAGCGGGUGAAAAGCCCGCUCGCCGGAAGACCAAGGGUUCCUGUCCAACGUUAAUCGGGGCAGGGUGAGUCGACCCCUAAGGCGAGGCCGAAAGGCGUAGUCGAUGGGAAACAGGUUAAUAUUCCUGUACUUGGUGUUACUGCGAAGGGGGGACGGAGAAGGCUAUGUCAGCCGGGCGACGGUUGUCCCGGUUUAAGCGUGUAGGUGUGUGUUCCAGGCAAAUCCGGUUCACUUUAACACUGAGGCGUGAUGACGAGGCACUACGGUGCUGAAGUGAUAAAUGCCCUGCUUCCAGGAAAAGCCUCUAAGCAUCAGGUAACACGAAAUCGUACCCCAAACCGACACAGGUGGUCAGGUAGAGAAUACCAAGGCGCUUGAGAGAACUCGGGUGAAGGAACUAGGCAAAAUGGUGCCGUAACUUCGGGAGAAGGCACGCUGAUAUGUAGGUGAAGCCCCUGCGGGCGGAGCUGAAAUCAGUCGAAGAUACCAGCUGGCUGCAACUGUUUAUUAAAAACACAGCACUGUGCAAACACGAAAGUGGACGUAUACGGUGUGACGCCUGCCCGGUGCCGGAAGGUUAAUUGAUGGGGUUAGCGGCAACGCGAAGCUCUUGAUCGAAGCCCCGGUAAACGGCGGCCGUAACUAUAACGGUCCUAAGGUAGCGAAAUUCCUUGUCGGGUAAGUUCCGACCUGCACGAAUGGCGUAAUGAUGGCCAGGCUGUCUCCACCCGAGACUCAGUGAAAUUGAACUCGCUGUGAAGAUGCAGUGUACCCGCGGCAAGACGGAAAGACCCCGUGAACCUUUACUAUAGCUUGACACUGAACACUGGUCCUUGAUGUGUAGGAUAGGUGGGAGGCUUUGAAGCGUGGACGCCAGUCUGCGUGGAGCCGUCCUUGAAAUACCACCCUUUAAUGGCUGGUGUUCUAACGUGGACCCGUAAUCCGGGUUGCGGACAGUGUCUGGUGGGUAGUUUGACUGGGGCGGUCUCCUCCCAAAGAGUAACGGAGGAGCACGAAGGUUAGCUAAUCCUGGUCGGACAUCAGGAGGUUAGUGCAAUGGCAUAAGCUAGCUUGACUGCGAGAGUGACGGCUCGAGCAGGUGCGAAAGCAGGUCAUAGUGAUCCGGUGGUUCUGAAUGGAAGGGCCAUCGCUCAACGGAUAAAAGGUACUCCGGGGAUAACAGGCUGAUACCGCCCAAGAGUUCAUAUCGACGGCGGUGUUUGGCACCUCGAUGUCGGCUCAUCACAUCCUGGGGCUGAAGUAGGUCCCAAGGGUAUGGCUGUUCGCCAUUUAAAGUGGUACGCGAGCUGGGUUUAGAACGUCGUGAGACAGUUCGGUCCCUAUCUGCCGUGGGCGCUGGAGAAUUGAGGGGGGCUGCUCCUAGUACGAGAGGACCGGAGUGGACGCAUCACUGGUGUUCGGGUUGUCAUGCCAAUGGCACUGCCCGGUAGCUAAAUGCGGAAGAGAUAAGUGCUGAAAGCAUCUAAGCACGAAACUUGCCCCGAGAUGAGUUCUCCCUGAGACUUUAAGUCUCCUGAAGGAACGUUGAAGACGACGACGUUGAUAGGCCGGGUGUGUAAGCGCAGCGAUGCGUUGAGCUAACCGGUACUAAUGAACCGUGAGGCUUAACCUU